rnacentral:rRNA from 1 species
CGCGCAGGCGGGAAUUUAAGUCAGGAGUGAAAACUGAGGGCUCAACCCUCAGCCUGCUUCUGAAACUGAAUUUCUUGAGGGUGUGAGAGGAAAGCGGAAUUCCUAGUGUAGCGGUGAAAUGCGUAGAUAUUAGGAGGAACACCAGUGGCGAAGGCGGCUUUCUGGCAUACAACUGACGCUGAGGCGCGAAAGCGUGGGGAGCAAACGGGAUUAGAUACCCCGGUAGUCCACGCCGUAAACGAUGAGCACUAGGUGUAGGAGGUAUCGACCCCUUCUGUGCCGUAGUUAACACAAUAAGUGCUCCGCCUGGGGAGUACGGCCGCAAGGUUGAA